rnacentral:lncRNA from 1 species
GCUCCUUCGUCUGGUUUGCGGAGGCUCUAGAGACCGGGACUGGGUGGACACUAGGAGGGAGGGCCUCUUGCCCGGUCUUUGGGGGGUCAGACCGAAGGGUCUCGAGUCCAUCUCCAAUGAGCUAAAGAACGAGCGCAUGUGUGCACCCCCUGGGCUUGGAACAGGGCAGGAGAGAAGGUGGGGCGCAUGACCAGAAUGCCCGGUGUUGCGUGCCAGCCUGCACCGUGUGCCUGGGCUCCUUCCAACAGCGAAGAAACAUUUCUUAUGCACCUGCUGUGUGCCAGGCCCAAGCUGGCAGAGAAACCCAGAUGAGGAGGCCCGGCCAGGGGAAGAAAAAUGGAAGGAGGUGUGAGGGAGAAGUACUUCGGGCUGUGAGGAGGAGGAGGUGUAAGAAGAUUGGAAAAGGAGGGGCCCAAGUCAAAGAAGGCUUUGGAUUCUAAAUAGAGGAUUUUGAAUUUGAUUCUGGAAGCGAU